UCCAACAACGACCCAACACCAUCCUCUCUCUCUCUCUCUCUCUCUCUCUCGUUACUAUUUUUAUUUUCUCAUUGUUUGAAAAGUCCCUCGGAUACUCUGCACGACUCUUUCAGCUGGAACUUUUAUCGAAUACCUCGCAGUAGACCUCACAUUUUCUUUGCUGCCAGAGAGCUUCAGCUUCGCUUCCUCCAAAUUCACGACAUUUUGCUCAGGAAAAAAAGAAUAACGACAUGGCGUAUGUCGACCACGCUUUCUCCAUUACCGACGAGGAUAUCAUGGUGGAGUCGUCGUAUACGGUCAACAAUAAACCUCCGAUCAAAGAGAUCGCUCUCGCUGUAGCGCUCCUCGUCUUCGGUACCCUCGGCAUCAUAAUUGGUAUAUUAAUGGCUUACAACCAUGUCGGUGGCGAUCGAGCUCACGGUCUUUUCUUUGCAAUACUUGGGGCGAUCUUGUUCAUUCCGGGUUUUUAUUACACGCGGAUUGCGUAUUAUGCUUAUAAAGGAUACAAAGGCUUCUCUUUCUCAAACAUUCCACCUGUGUAGCUCGCAUGAGAUUAGCUCUCAACUUCCGACUUUUGUCCUUUUCUUCCCAUGAAAUUCCCAGGUAAAGGGAAAGAGGAUAAUAUCGGGGCUGCAAAAGAGUUGAAAAUGUGCAAGCUUUUUGGGAUUGUUUUAUGAUAAUAAAGGUAACAACUGAAUGGUGAACAGUGAGGGAAAGAGGGAGGGGCAUGUAAAAGAGAAUUGGUAGCAGAUAUGUUUGUGGUGGUGGGUCUGAGUAUGAUGUUUACUAAAUGCUGAUAAAUUUACAAAGUAAACUUGGACAUAUUUGAAUUCGAGAAAUAAAUGAGGUUAAUAAUGAAGGUUAGGUCAAUUUUGACUUUUGAUUUCGUGAUUGGAAGUCAGAUUAGCAUUAAAAAGUUUUAAAGUCAAGUAGGUCCAAAACUAGUCUAUAUAGGAUUUUGUACAAUUUUUAUAUGGUCGACUGUACAUGUAGUUUGGUUGUGUAAGUAUUAUCUUUAGGGGAGAAUCCUUGGGAGUUUAUUUAUUUAUUUAUUUUGUUUGCUUAAAUGAUUUUACAAAGAAGGCUCCUUCCUCUUGUUCAUGAAAAAUAAAAAAAGAAUAAAUGAGGUUGAAAAAAAAUAUAUGUAUGCACUAUUUUAUCCUUAGCUUGUAAGAAAUUCAUUUUCAAUUUGACAAAAGCUUGUUUGGUUCAUGAUGUAAUUACUGUACAGUUAUUUAUAUAAGAAUAUGCUUUCUAGGAA